CAACCCUAGCAGCAGCAGCAGCAGCAGCAGCAGUCCCGCGAAACUCUCGGGUUCUCGAUUCGCCGGGCUGAUCUCACGAACGAUGAUGCGCUCGAGGGGUGAACGCGAGCUAGGCGGUCUUCUUCUUCUCUCCAAUCCCCCGAAGAGAGAAAGAAAGAGAAAGAGAGAGAGAGAGAGACGAGUACAGAGAGAAGGAGGAAGAGGAAGAGGGAAGAAAAUGAAGACAUCGAAUGAAGAGGAGUAACUCGAAGUUGUACGCUUCGUCGAGAGAAACUCGAUCAAUGGCCUUGUCAUAUAUAGACGUAAAUACGUGUAUACAUGUGUGUGUAUGUGUGUGUAAACAAUCGUCGUUGGAAUAUUUUCGAAUAAAGAGAGA
rnacentral:lncRNA from 1 species